GGAAAAGGAGUUACAGGCCUAAGACUAAGAUAUUAAAGCCAACUAAAGUCCAGACCAAAAGCUUACAAUAAGAAGCCCUUAAGGCCCAUAAACAAAACUCUAGAGCAAGGAAAGUUGCAGAUGAGAUUGUCUCCACCAAGCCAGUCGUCAACGGCAUUUUCAAUAGCAAUAGGGAAGCUGAUCCAAAUAAGAAAAGGGAGAUCAUUUUUUUCUCAAGAAACUAGCUUAAAGAGAGAUCAUUUUUUUGCUCAGGAAACUAACUUCAACAAAAAACUAGCCAAAACUCCAAUCUAUCUUUCCUUCACGACCGUAGACCCAACAGAUCCUUGAACCAACGACAAAAACAAUAGUCUUUGAAGAGGUGGUGCACGACAGAGCUCUUAGCAUUUCAAGCCUUAAGGGUCAACUCCAAUCGGCUGGCAAUCGCAAGAACCAGUCGAACAGUUAUAUGACCCCAGAGGUACUGAGCACAACUAAAAGGAUUACACC
rnacentral:misc_RNA from 1 species